rnacentral:rRNA from 1 species
GACGAACGCUGGCGGCGUGCCUAAUACAUGCAAGUCGAGCGGACCUCUUCGGAGGUCAGCGGCGGACGGGUGAGUAACACGUGGGCAACCUGCCUGUAAGACUGGGAUAACACCGGGAAACCGGUGCUAAUACCGGAUAAUCCUUUCCCUCACAUGAGGUGAAGCUGAAAGACGGUUUCGGCUGUCACUUACAGAUGGGCGCGCGGCGCAUUAGCUAGUUGGUGGGGUAACGGCCCACCAAGGCGACGAUGCGUAGCCGACCUGAGAGGGUGAUCGGCCACACUGGGACUGAGACACGGCCCAGACUCCUACGGGAGGCAGCAGUAGGGAAUCUUCCGCAAUGGACGAAAGUCUGACGGAGCAACGCCGCGUGAGCGAAGAAGGCCUUCGGGUCGUAAAGCUCUGUUGUCAGGGAAGAACACGUACCGGAGUAACUGCCGGUACCUUGACGGUACCUGACCAGAAAGCCACGGCUAACUACGUGCCAGCCGCCGCCGUAACAC